rnacentral:misc_RNA from 1 species
GUUUUGCAUAGAAGUCGAGCUUCUUUAAAAGGCCGUUGUUUUGACUUCAGAUUUCAAUAGUCAGUUCAGACCAGUCGACGCUCUAGCUCGCCUUCCUUACUUCAAUCCAGGAAGAACGAUCUAACUCUAAUCAGUCAUGAAUAAGACAAUUUUACUUUUGGUGGUCGUCGCAAUGGUGGGAUGCACAUUCGGAAGACCCCAGCAUCACGGUCAUAGACCCCAUGGGGGUGGUUUUGGCGGAGCGCGCCCUGGUGGUUUUGGCGGAAUCCGCCCCGGUGGUUUCGGCGGAGCUCCUGGUGGAUUUCCUGUUGGUGGUGGCGGCGGCUUGUUCGGACCGCAGGGCGGAUUCGGAGGAGCGAAUGCUGCCGGAAUCGGUAACGGAGCUGUCGUAGGAAAUCAAGCUAUCGGAACAGGCACCGGAAUCGCUAACGCCGGCCCAGGUGGUUUUGGCAUUGGUUUGGGUGUUGGAGGAGCUGUGGCGACUCCAUUAGGAAACCUAGCCUUCGGCCAAGGUGAAAGUCUUUCAGUCGGCAAAUAAAAACAAAUCGUUUGUUGACUUCUCUAACGUCACUAACCAAUUUGUUGUCCAUUUAUCCGUCUGUGAAUACAACUGUCAAUUACUAUCAACCUGAGAGAGAGAGAACAUUUUUUGGUGAUCCUUUGAAGUUGAUGCGCAUGCAUGAACAAUUCCAACGAAUAUACAGAUGUUGUAUAAAUUACGUCUGCUGCACAACUGGUAGUAACUGUCAUUUAGCAAGAAGUCAGUUAAGCCCCCGGCUAAUUUUGCGCCCGCCCAUUAUAGUUUAGUUUGUUCCUAUAUACGUACUCAAUCGACUUUGCCUAGAAGGAUUAUUCACAAUGUUUUAGAACUUAAACUACAGUUGAAACUCGUUAGUUACAGCCAGUUGACGUACGACCUUCCCAGGGACAUAUCCAGCUGUAAACCAAUCCAAACAUAAACGAUGUUUAAGCAGACGAUUUUCAUUUUGGUGGUGGUUGCUAUGGUUGGAAGUGCGCUUGGAAGACCCCAGAGACCUCAGAGACCAAACAGACCCAUUGCUGGCGGUUUCUUACCUGGAGCAGGUGGUUUCGGAGGAGCGAACGCUGCUGGACUCGGCAGUGGUUCUGUCGUAGGGAACCAAGCCAUCGGACAAGGAACCGGAAUCGCUAACGCUGGACAAGGCGGAUUUGGUAUUGGUCUCGGUGUUGGUGGCGCUGUGGCCACUCCGCUUGGUAACCUAGCCUUCGGUCAAGGUGAAAGCAUUUCAGUCGGUAAAUAGGAAAUUAAAAACUGAUAUGUUACUGAUCUAAUUGCUAUACACCUAUCAAUAUCUUCUUUGGCGGGCACCAAUUUAUCUUGUAUUCCUUCUUUCUUAUCAGUGAAGCCAUUACACAUUUGAAAUGA